rnacentral:rRNA from 1 species
AGUGAACGCUGGCGGUAGGCCUAACACAUGCAAGUCGAACGGCAGCACAGGAGAGCUUGCUCUCUGGGCGGCGAGUGGCGGACGGGUGAGGAAUACAUCGGAAUCUACUCUGUCGUGGGGGAUAACGUAGGGAAACUUACGCUAAUACCGCAUACGACCUACGGGUGAAAGCAGGGGACCUUCGGGCCUUGCGCGGCUGAAUGAGCCGAUGUCAGAUUAGCUAGUUGGCGGGGUAAAGGCCCACCAAGGCGACGAUCCGUAGCUGGUCCGAGAGGAUGAUCAGCCACACUGGAACUGAGACACGGUCCAGACUCCUACGGGAGGCAGCAGUGGGGAAUAUUGGACAAUGGGCGCAAGCCUGAUCCAGCCAUACCGCGUGGGUGAAGAAGGCCUUCGGGUUGUAAAGCCCUUUUGUUGGGAAAGAAAUCCAGCUGGCUAAUACCCGGUUGGGAUGACGGUACCCAAAGAAUAAGCACCGGCUAACUUCGUGCCAGCCGCCGCGGUAA